rnacentral:rRNA from 1 species
CAGCCGCCGCGGUAACACGGAGGGUGCAAGCGUUGUCCGGAUUUAUUGGGUUUAAAGGGUGCGCAGGCGGGGGGGUCAGUCCGCGGUGAAAGACGAUUGCUCAACGAUUGCAGUGCCGUGGAUACUGCCCUUCUUGAAUCUGGUUGAGGCCGGUGGAAUUGACCGUGUAGCGGUGAAAUGCAUAGAUAUGGUCAAGAACUCCAAUUGCGAAGGCAGCCGGCUGGGCCAGCAUUGACGCUCAGGCACGAGAGUGCGGGGAUCAAACAGGAUUAGAGACCCCAGUAGUCCCUGUCUCUUAUAC